GAUGAACGCUGGCGGCGUGCCUAAUACAUGCAAGUCGAGCGAACAGAUAAGGAGCUUGCUCCUUUGACGUUAGCGGCGGACGGGUGAGUAACACGUGGGUAACCUACCUAUAAGACUGGGAUAACUUCGGGAAACCGGAGCUAAUACCGGAUAACAUUUGGAACCGCAUGGUUCUAAAGUGAAAGAUGGUUUUGCUAUCACUUAUAGAUGGACCCGCGCCGUAUUAGCUAGUUGGUAAGGUAACGGCUUACCAAGGCAACGAUACGUAGCCGACCUGAGAGGGUGAUCGGCCACACUGGAACUGUGACACGGUCCAGACUCCUACGGGAGGCAGCAGUAGGGAAUCUUCCGCAAUGGGCGAAAGCCUGACGGAGCAACGCCGCGUGAGUGAUGAAGGGUUUCGGCUCGUAAAACUCUGUUAUUAGGGAAGAACAAACGUGUAAGUAACUGUGCACGUCUUGACGGUACCUAAUCAGAAAGCCACGGCUAACUACGUG
rnacentral:rRNA from 1 species